rnacentral:rRNA from 1 species
CUCCUACGGGGGGCAGCAGUGAGGAAUAUUGGUCAAUGGGCUUACGCCUGAACCAGCCAAGUCGCGUGAGGGAAGACUGCCCUAUGGGUUGUAAACCUCUUUUGUCAGGGAGCAACGCCGGCUACGUGUAGCCGGACUGAGAGUACCUGAAGAAAAAGCAUCGGCUAACUCCGUGCCAGCAGCCGCGGUAAUACGGAGGAUGCGAGCGUUAUCCGGAGUUAUUGGGGUUAAAGGGGGCGUAGGCGGAAUGCCAAGUCAGCGGUACAAUCGCGGGGCGCAAACCCGCUCCGCCGUUGAGACUGGCG